rnacentral:rRNA from 1 species
UACAGAGGAUGCAAGCGUUAUCCGGAAUCACUGGGCAUAAAGCGUCUGUAGGUGGUUUGAUAAGUCUGCUGUUAAAGACUAGGGCUUAACCCUAGGAAAGCAGUGGAAACUAUUAGACUUGAGUAUGGUAGAGGUAGAGGGAAUUCCUAGUGUAGCGGUGAAAUGCGUAGAUAUUAGGAAGAACACCAAUGGCGAAAGCACUCUACUGGGCCACAACUGACACUGAGAGACGACAGCUAGGGGAGCAAAUGGGAUUAGAUACCCGUGUAGUCC